AUCCCAGAUAAAGUAAUUAAAGUGCUUAUCUGAUUCAUAGAUAGCCAAAAACAAUGAUCGGAGCUUCGCUGAUAGCGCCUUCCUUACUAUCCAUGGAGGCGUUUCAUUAGUAGCUUUCUAUACACAU